rnacentral:rRNA from 1 species
UACGUAGGGUGCAGGCGUUAAUCGGAAUUACUGGGCGUAAAGCGUGCGUAGACGGUCAUGUAAGUCGGGUGUGAAAGCCCCGGGCUCAACCUGGGAAUUGCAUUCGAGACUGCGUGGCUAGGGUGCGGAAGAGGGAAGCGGAAUUUCCGGUGUAGCGGUGAAAUGCGUAGAUAUCGGAAGGAACACCAGUGGCGAAAGCGGCUUCCUGGUCCAGCACCGACGUUCAGGCACGAAAGCGUGGGGAGCAAACAGG